GAUGAGCGCUAGCGACAGGCUUAACACAUGCAAGUCGAGGGGCAGCAUAGAAGUAGCAAUACUUUGGUGGCGACCGGCGCACGGGUGAGUAACGCGUAUGCAACCUACCUAUCAGAGGGGAAUAACCCGGCGAAAGUCGGACUAAUACCGCAUAAAACAGGGGCACCGCAUGGUGAUAUUUGUUAAAGAAAUUCGCUGAUAGAUGGGCAUGCGUUCCAUUAGGUAGUUGGUGAGGUAACGGCUCACCAAGCCGACGAUAGAUAGGGGAACUGAGAGGUUGGUCCCCCACACUGGUACUGAGACACGGACCAGACUCCUACGGGAGGCAGCAGUGAGGAAUAUUGGUCAAUGGGCGGGAGCCUGAACCAGCCAAGUCGCGUGAAGGAAGAAGGAUCUAUGGUUCGUAAACUUCUUUUGCAGGGGAAUAAAGUGCAGGACGUGUCCUGUUUUGUAUGUACCCUGAGAAUAAGGAUCGGCUAACUCCGUGCCAGCAGCCGCGGUAAGAC
rnacentral:rRNA from 1 species